GGUAGUAAGGAGUUGACGCUUAAGUUCUCGGGUCCCGCGGCAGGCUUGUUUGGAGGUAGUCCUCCUUUCCUUGGGUUGAUCCGUUGAGCGUGGAUUCGAUCGAGGGGCAUAACCGAGUAUCAGGUAGGGGUACAGCGAGGGGCAGACCGACGAGAGGCAGGAAGGACGCGUGAAGGCCAUAUGGACGCGUCUGGUUUUCUUAUCGCUUCCGCUAUGUAUUUUGUCAGAAUAUUUUGACUUGUGAUU